rnacentral:rRNA from 1 species
UACGGAGGGUGCAAGCGUUAAUCGGAAUUACUGGGCGUAAAGCGCACGCAGGUGGCUGAGUCAGUCGAUUGUGAAAGCCCUGGGCUUAACCUGGGAAUUGCAGUCGAUACUACUCAGCUAGAGUAUGGGAGAGGGCAGUGGAAUUCCCGGUGUAGCGGUGAAAUGCGUAGAUAUCGGGAGGAACAUCAAGUGGCGAAGGCGGAUCUCUGGACAAAUCCUGACGCUGAGGCGCGAAGGCUAGGGGAGCAAACGGGG